rnacentral:rRNA from 1 species
UACGAAGGGGGCUAGCGUUGUUCGGAAUCACUGGGCGUAAAGGGCGCGUAGGCGGGCAUGUAAGUCAGGGGUGAAAUCCCGGGGCUCAACCUCGGAACUGCCUUUGAUACUGGAUGUCUUGAGUCCGGAAGAGGUGAGUGGAACUGCGAGUGUAGAGGUGAAAUUCGUAGAUAUUCGCAAGAACACCGGUGGCGAAGGCGGCUCACUGGUCCGGAACUGACGCUGAGGCACGACAGCGUGGGGAGCAAACAGG